GAUGAACGCUGGCGGCGUGCCUAAUACAUGCAAGUCGAGCGAAUGGAUUAAGAGCUUGCUCUUAUGAAGUUAGCGGCGGACGGGUGAGUAACACGUGGGUAACCUGCCCAUAAGACUGGGAUAACUCCGGGAAACCGGGGCUAAUACCGGAUAACAUUUUGAACCGCAUGGUUCGAAAUUGAAAGGCGGCUUCGGCUGUCACUUAUGGAUGGACCCGCGUCGCAUUAGCUAGUUGGUGAGGUAACGGCUCACCAAGGCAACGAUGCGUAGCCGACCUGAGAGGGUGAUCGGCCACACUGGGACUGAGACACGGCCCAGACUCCUACGGGAGGCAGCAGUAGGGAGUCUUCCGCAAUGGACGAAAGUCUGACGGAGCAACGCCGCGUGAGUGAUGAAGGCUUCCGGGUCGUAAAACUCUGUUGUUAGGGAAGAACAAGUGCUAGUUGAAUAAGCUGGCACCUUGACGGUACCUAACCAGAAAGCCACGGCUAACUACGUGCCAGCAGCCGCCGUAA
rnacentral:rRNA from 1 species